rnacentral:rRNA from 1 species
ACGGCGAGUGAACAGGGAGAAGCCCAAAUUUGUAAUCUGGCACUUUUUACAAGUGUCCGAGUUGUAAUUUGUAGAACUGUUAUCCGUGCUGGACCAUGUACAAGUCUGUUGAAAAGCAGCAUCAUUGAAGGUGAAAAUCCUGUAGAUGAUAUGGACUACCAGGACAUUUGUGAUACGGUUUCUAAGAGUCGAGUUGUUUGGGAAUGCAGCUCAAAGUGGGUGGUAAAUUCCAUCUAAGGCUAAAUAUAAGUGAGAGACCGAUAGCAAACAAGUACCGUGAGGGAAAGAUGAAAAGAACUUUGAAAAUAGAGUUAAAAGUACGUGAAAUUGCUGAAAGGGAAACGUUUAAAGUUAGUUUUGUAUUCGUUAGAUCAGCUUCGCAAGGAGUGUAUUCUGAUGAUAAGCAAGUCAACAUCAGUCUAUGAGUGUCUGAUAAGGGUUUUGAGAAUGUAGCAAUUUAAUUGUGUUAUAGCUUGAGACUUGGAUACGAUGCUUUGGAUUGAGGAACGCGUAGUAAGC